rnacentral:lncRNA from 1 species
UCUUGAGUUGGUCAGACUCACUCAUGAAGAAUUUUCCAUUCUUUUUUUUUUUCUUGCCAGUCUCCUGAGAUCUGAGUUGGGGAAGAAGACGGUGAGGGAGAGGGGGUCUCGAUAUCUGACAGGAAGCAGGAAGCUGGAGCUUGAGGAGAAUGAUGUCCCUGCCUUGGGGCUGGUUGUUGACCGAAGACAGGACAGAAGGAGCAGCCCCUUGCUGGGAUCUCCCAUUCGAUGAGACCAACCAGAAAUGGAGAUGCUGGACUAGGUGGAGAGGCUGAAGAAAGUAACCAAGCAGUGGGGCUUCUGUGGAUGCAGCCUGCAUUUCCCCCUGAGCAACGGCUGGUACGAAGCCCAGCAGCCCAUUUUCACGAUCCUGCUGCCUCUGUUUAAUCAGAAAAUGUCCCUGUCCUGGACAUCUUGGUGUGUGGCUUUAUUUCCAACUGGAUGCCUCCUUUUCUCUAAACUUGAAGCGCCUGAACAGCCCCACAUUUGGGGUAACUGUCCCUUGCUCUUUGCUUGUAUUUCCCUGACCUUGAAAGAGCCAUUUUCCAGGACUGUCACUAAUGGAUCUUCACGCAAUGACAAUAAAAUAUCCCAGCGCUCGAGAAAAGAAAGGAGA